rnacentral:rRNA from 1 species
GAUGAACGCUGGCGGCGUGCCUAAUACAUGCAAGUCGAGCGAACAGACGAGGAGCUUGCUCCUCUGACGUUAGCGGCGGACGGGUGAGUAACACGUGGAUAACCUACCUAUAAGACUGGGAUAACUUCGGGAAACCGGAGCUAAUACCGGAUAAUAUAUUGAACCGCAUGGUUCAAUAGUGAAAGACGGUUUUGCUGUCACUUAUAGAUGGAUCCGCGCCGCAUUAGCUAGUUGGUAAGGUAACGGCUUACCAAGGCGACGAUGCGUAGCCGACCUGAGAGGGUGAUCGGCCACACUGGAACUGAGACAUGGUCCAGACUCCUACGGGAGGCAGCAGUAGGGAAUCUUCCGCAAUGGGUGAAAGCCUGACGGAGCAACGCCGCGUGAGUGAUGAAGGUCUUCGGAUCGUAAAACUCUGUUAUUAGGGAAGAACAAAUGUGUAAGUAACUAUGCACGUCUUGACGGUACCUAAUCAGAAAGCCACGGCUAACUACGUG